rnacentral:rRNA from 1 species
GAUGAACGCUGGCGGCGUGCCUAAUACAUGCAAGUCGAGCGAACGGACGAGAAGCUUGCUUCUCUGAUGUUAGCGGCGGACGGGUGAGUAACACGUGGAUAACCUACCUAUAAGACUGGGAUAACUUCGGGAAACCGGAGCUAAUACCGGAUGAUAUUUUGAACCGCAUGGUUCAAAAGUGAAAGACGGUCUUGCUGUCACUUAUAGAUGGAUUCGCGCUGCAUUAGCUAGUUGGUAAGGUAACGGCUUACCAAGGAAACGAUGCAUAGCCGACCUGAGAGGGUGAUCGGCCACACUGGAACUGAGACGCGGUCCAGACUCCUACGGGAGGCAGCAGUAGGGAAUCUUCCGCAAUGGGCGAAAGCCUGACGGAGCAACGCCGCGUGAGUGAUGAAGGUCUUCGGAUCGUAAAACUCUGUUAUUAGGGAAGAACAUAUGUGUAAGUAACUGUGCACAUCUUGACGGUACCUAAUCAGAAAGCCACGGCUAACUACGUG